rnacentral:rRNA from 1 species
GUCUAUGGCCAUGUCAUCCUGAACAAACUCGAUGUCUGAUUUCAGAAGCUGAGCAGGGUCGGGAUUAAUUAGUACUUGGAUGGGAGACCACCUAGAAGAAUCAGGUGCUGUAGGCA